GACGAACGCUGGCGGCGUGCUUAACACAUGCAAGUCGAACGCUGAAGCUCAGCUUUUGUUGGGUGGAUGGGUGGCGAACGGGUGAGUAACACGUGAGUAACCUGCCUCCUUCUUUGGGAUAACGCCCGGAAACGGGUGCUAAUACUGGAUAUUCACUGGUCUUCGCAUGGGGGUUGGUGGGAAGGGUUUUUCUGGUGGGGGAUGGGCUCGCGGCCUAUCAGCUUGUUGGUGGGGUGAUGGCCUACCAAGGCUUUGACGGGUAGCCGGCCUGAGAGGGUGACCGGUCACAUUGGGACUGAGAUACGGCCCAGACUCCUACGGGAGGCAGCAGUGGGGAAUAUUGCACAAUGGGCGCAAGCCUGAUGCAGCGACGCCGCGUGAGGGAUGGAGGCCUUCGGGUUGUGAACCUCUUUCGCUCAUGGUCAAGCCGCAACAAUGGUUGUGGUGAGGGUAGUGGGUAAAGAAGCGCCGGCUAACUACGUG
rnacentral:rRNA from 1 species